rnacentral:rRNA from 1 species
UAGAACGGAUUACUUCGGUUUGAAGUUCUUUAUGACUGAGUGGCGGACGGGUGAGUAACGCGUGGGUAACCCGCCUUGUACUGGGGGAUAGCAGCUGGAAACGGCUGGUAAUACCGCAUAAGCGCACAAUGUUGCAUGACAUGGUGUGAAAAACUCCGGUGGUAUAAGAUGGACCCGCGUCUGAUUAGCUAGUUGGUGAGAUAACAGCCCACCAAGGCGACGAUCAGUAGCCGACCUGAGAGGGUGAUCGGCCACAUUGGGACUGAGACACGGCCCAGACUCCUACGGGAGGCAGCAGUGGGGAAUAUUGCACAAUGGAGGAAACUCUGAUGCAGCGACGCCGCGUGAGUGAAGAAGUAAUUCGUUAUGUAAAGCUCUAUCAGCAGGGAAGAUAGUGACGGUACCUGACUAAGAAGCUCCGGCUAAAUACGUGCCAGCAGCCGCGGUAAUACGUAUGGAGCAAGCGUUAUCCGGAUUUACUGGGUGUAAAGGG